rnacentral:rRNA from 1 species
CAAGCCCUGGAAACGGGGUCUAAUACCGGAUACGACAUUCUCCCGCAUGGGAAGGGUGUGGAAAGCUCCGGCGGUGCAGGAUGAGCCCGCGGCCUAUCAGCUUGUUGGUGGGGUGAUGGCCUACCAAGGCGACGACGGGUAGCCGGCCUGAGAGGGCGACCGGCCACACUGGGACUGAGACACGGCCCAGACUCCUACGGGAGGCAGCAGUGGGGAAUAUUGCACAAUGGGCGCAAGCCUGAUGCAGCGACGCCGCGUGAGGGAUGACGGCCUUCGGGUUGUAAACCUCUUUCAGCAGGGAAGAAGCGAGAGUGACGGUACCUGCAGAAGAAGCACCGGCUAACUACGUGCCAGCAGCCGCGGUAAUACGUAGGGUGCGAGCGUUGUCCGGAAUUAUUGGGCGUAAAGAGCUCGUAGGCGGCUUGUCACGUCGGAUGUGAAAGCCCGGGGCUUAACCCCGGGUCUGCAUUCGAUACGGGCAGGCUAGAGUUCGGUAGGGGAGAUCGGAAUUCCUGGUG